rnacentral:rRNA from 1 species
AUUGAACGCUGGCGGCAUGCUUUACACAUGCAAGUCGAACGGUAACAGGUUAAGCUGACGAGAGGCGAACGGGUGAGUAAUGCAUCGGAACGUGCCCGAUCGUGGGGGAUAACGCAGCGAAAGCUGCGCUAAUACCGCAUACGAUCUGAGGAUGAAAGCGGGGGACCGUAAGGCCUCGCGCGAUCGGAGCGGCCGAUGUCAGAUUAGGUAGUCGGUGGGGUAAAGGCUCACCAAGCCAACGAUCUGUAGCUGGUCUGAGAGGACGACCAGCCACACUGGGACUGAGACACGGCCCAGACUCCUACGGGAGGCAGCAGUGGGGAAUUUUGGACAAUGGGCGAAAGCCUGAUCCAGCAAUGCCGCGUGCAGGAAGAAGGCCUUCGGGUUGUAAACUGCUUUUGUACGGAGCGAAAAGGUCUCCUCUAAUACAGGGGGCUCAUGACGGUACCGUAAGAAUAAGCACCGGCUAACUACGUGCCAGCAGCCGCAGUAA